rnacentral:rRNA from 1 species
UACGGGGGGGGGUAAGCGUUGUUCGGAAUUACUGGGCGUAAAGGGCUCGUAGGCGGCCAACUAAGUCGGACGUGAAAUCCCCAGGCUCAACCUGGGAACUGCGUCUGAUACUGGAUGGCUUGAAUCCGGGAGAGGGAUGCAGAAUUCCAGGUGUAGCGGUGAAAUGCGUAGAUAUCUGGAGGAAUACCGGUGGCGAAGGCGGCAUCCUGGACCGGCAUUGACGCUGAGGAGCGAAAGCCAGGGGAGCAAACGGG